GACGAACGCUGGCGGGGUGCUUAACACAUGCAAGUCGAACGGAAAGGCCCUGCUUUUGUGGGGUGCUCGAGUGGCGAACGGGUGAGUAACACGUGAGUAACCUGCCCUUGACUUUGGGAUAACUUCAGGAAACUGGGGCUAAUACCGGAUAGGAGCUCCUGCUGCAUGGUGGGGGUUGGAAAGUUUCGGCGGUUGGGGAUGGACUCGCGGCUUAUCAGCUUGUUGGUGGGGUAGUGGCUUACCAAGGCUUUGACGGGUAGCCGGCCUGAGAGGGUGACCGGCCACAUUGGGACUGAGAUACGGCCCAGACUCCUACGGGAGGCAGCAGUGGGGAAUAUUGCACAAUGGGCGGAAGCCUGAUGCAGCAACGCCGCGUGCGGGAUGACGGCCUUCGGGUUGUAAACCGCUUUCGCCUGUGACGAAGCGUGAGUGACGGUAAUGGGUAAAGAAGCACCGGCUAACUACGU
rnacentral:rRNA from 1 species